rnacentral:rRNA from 1 species
AUUGAACGCUGGCGGCAGGCUUAACACAUGCAAGUCGAGCGGGGUGAUGGUGCUUGCACUAUCACUUAGCGGCGGACGGGUGAGUAAUGCUUAGGAAUCUGCCUAUUAGUGGGGGACAACAUCUCGAAAGGGAUGCUAAUACCGCAUACGUCCUACGGGAGAAAGCAGGGGAUCACUUGUGACCUUGCGCUAAUAGAUGAGCCUAAGUCGGAUUAGCUAGUUGGUGGGGUAAAGGCCCACCAAGGCGACGAUCUGUAGCGGGUCUGAGAGGAUGAUCCGCCAGACUGGGACUGAGACACGGCCCAGACUCCUACGGGAGGCAGCAGUGGGGAAUAUUGGACAAUGGGGGGAACCCUGAUCCAGCCAUGCCGCGUGUGUGAAGAAGGCCUUAUGGUUGUAAAGCACUUUAAGCGAGGAGGAGGCUCUUUUGGUUAAUACCCAAGAUGAGUGGACGUUACUCGCAGAAUAAGCACCGGCUAACUCUGUGCCAGCAGCCGCCGUAACAC